rnacentral:piRNA from 1 species
UGACUAAAUAUCAUAUGUAGUGCCUCCCCCCU